CCUACGGGUGGCAGCAGUGAGGAAUAUUGGUCAAUGGACGAGAGUCUGAACCAGCCAAGUAGCGUGAAGGAUGACUGCCCUAUGGGUUGUAAACUUCUUUUAUAAGGGAAUAAAAUGUGCCACGUGUGGGAUUUUGUAUGUACCAUAUGAAUAAGGAUCGGCUAACUCCGUGCCAGCAGCCGCGGUAAUACGGAGGAUCCGAGCGUUAUCCGGAUUUAUUGGGUUUAAGGGGAGCGUAGAUGGGUUGUUAAGUCAGUUGUGAAAGUUUGCGGCUCAACCGUAAAAUUGCAAUUGAGACUGGCAGUCUUGAGUACAGUAGAGGUGGGCGGAAUUCGUGGUGUAGCGGUGAAAUGCUUAGAUAUCACGAAGAACUCCGAUUGCGAAGGCAGUUCACUGGACUGCCACUGACACUGAGGCUCGAAAGUGUGGGUAUCAAACAGGAUUAGAUACCCCGGUAGUC
rnacentral:rRNA from 1 species